rnacentral:lncRNA from 1 species
GACACAGGAGCUGUGUGUUUGCAGGUAGUGCAAGAUCUCUUGGCAGCGUUGCCUGCACACUUAAAAGGUUCUCCAGGACAAGGAUGUGCCUUCCCUCACGUGAGAUGAUAAGGCUGCAAGAGGAGUUCUUGGACUUAAUGCUCAUUAGAAGAAGAGUUAACUGGCUGGGCUGGGACAGGGGCACUCUGCGGGGUAAGGAACUGGCUGUAGGGCCAGACAGAAUGGUGGGGAAUGGAGUUACAUCCAGCUGACAACAGGUGACGAGUGGUGUUCCCCAGGGGUCAGUACUGGGGCCUGUCCUGCUCAGUAUCUUUACUGAUGACCUGGAUAAGGGCAUUGAGUGCACCCUCAGUAAGUUUGCAGAUGACACCAUGCUGGGAGGGAGUGCUGAUCUGCUGGGAAGUAGGAAGGCCCUACAGAGAGAUAGGCUGCAUCAGUGCUGACAGCACUGAGCUGUGAUGUCACCAAGUGAUGGCAUGUGAUGUCACCAGGUGAUGGACUGUGACCUCAUGGCCUAAGCUGCAUAUACUGGGGUAUGCAGAGGUUGUCCCAGCCUGGCUCUUUCCUGGACUCUGGCUGAGCAUUUCUGCAUGGUGCCCAAACCCACACACAGUGCUCAAGCUGAGGCAGGUUACAGAGCACAGAGGUGACAGGAGCCAGCUGCUGGCUCGACAGAGGAAAAGCGAGCAAGGAGGACCAAUGCUGAGCUUUGCUCCACCUUUCUCUCUGCUAUGGGGUCACGGGGAUGAGGGACACGGAGAGAAAGAGGACAAGUGCCGAUUGCCAGCGCAUUGACCAAAGCACAGAUGAGGCACAAG